AAAGGGGGACUUAACAAGACAAAGAUAACUGAGUUCAGAGAAACAGCUACACUGGAAACACUGCGCUGGUGUAACGUUAUAUCAGAAGAGAGACUCUAAAAGCACAGCUGAACGUGGGAUUCUGCUUCUGGUAAGACAAUUCACUUAAUUCUCUGAAACUGAAAUAUCGACUGUCGGAGCCAUGAAUCCUUCAAAGAUUGUCAUCCAGCUUCAACCACAAACACAAACAGCAACUGUGACUGGGACCAGUUUUUCUGAGCCUGUUUACAUGCAGCAUGAAGCAGGAGUUUCAAUUCAGGCCUUUCUGAAAGGCCAACCAAAAGCCCUUGGGACUGUCCAGAUAAUAAUUGGUCUGUUGAUUCUCCUGUUGGAAAUUGUGUUCACAGUUUUUACACACUCCACCUUUGCCUUCAGCGGCGUUCCUUAUGUGGGAUCUCUGAUAUACAUUACUGCAGGCUCGCUCUCCAUUGCUGCUGAAAACAAAAUUGAUUCACCAGCCGGUUUAUGUUUGGUGAGAGCUUCCCUCGGGAUGAACAUUUUCAGUGCCAUAGCAACGGGCAUUGCCAUUAUUAUGCUUUCACUGGGUUUGACUAUUGGACCCUACACUUACUGCAGACUCUACAAUUAUUGUGAGGAUUAUUUUAAUCUCUUGAGUGGUUUUUUGCUGCUGUUCUCCAUCCUUGAGCUCUUCAUCUCCAUCUGGCUGUCUGCAUUUGGCUGUAAAGUCACCUGCUGCAAUUUUCCUUAGAUUCCUGUGGACAACAACCCUUUAAUUCAACACCCUCCUGCAGAAAUCCCCCAAACGUACAUUCAAUGUCCUCAAGAAGUCCCAGAACCAUGCUUUCAACAUCCUCCUGCAGGAUCUCCCCCAGCGUACACUGAAGGCGAAUAAAUGUGAAUUGUUACGUGUUUUAUGAUGUAAAGUGGGAUGCUGUAACAUUUAAGUGAGACAGGUGUAAUGUGUGCGACAGAUCAAUAAUGAGGCCAGGUUCAGUUACUCUCAUUUAAAGCUUUUACUCAAUAAUUGAAUUGAAACAUGUAACAAUAAUAAAUGGGGGAGAAAAAACAAACAAACAUUUAUAAUUAUUAUCUUUAAACAAGAACAACGAGUGUAAGCCAAAUCAAAGAAAUUAACAAAACAAUCCUUAAAUCUAAUGUCUAAACUAGGCGUCAAAAAGAAACACAAUUAAAAACUAAGAUCUUCAGUGUGUACGACACCCGAACUAAACUAAUCAAACUACAAAACUCAAAAAUACACGGGUGGCAAAACACUCAAACUAAUCUAACAAAACAUCAAUCUAAACUAAAACAAAACAAACCGGAUAAGUUUGUUAAAUCUUAGUUUAGAAUCACACAAUCAUCUCCAUAUGUUACUUAAAGCCAACAAAGUUCAACAAGCAACUCGAAUUAUCACAGUAACUGAGAGAUCACAAAAUAGACGAAGCAUUUGCACAAACAAAUUGCGUGGAGCACAAAGGGUACGCCGAGGCAGGGCGCACACCACACACUGGACUGACAGGGCUUUAAAUACUUGCGGCUCGUCCUGGGAUUGGUGGAACCGGAGAGCGUCAUAAUGAUGAUGGACAGAAUAAUAAACCAAUAAGAAACCUAGGGUUGAGCAAACGGAGAGGAGGGUGAAAAAAAAAACAGGAAAAAAAACAUAAAUCAUAACAGAAUCAACAUGAAAAAACUGGGCAGAGCGGUGGAUCUGCUGCUGCAUCAUCAGAUUACGUGUAAAAUGAUUAUUAUAGUCCUCUCUAUAGAUUUCACGGUGUAUUUGAUAUGCUCUACGUCUGUACUUUCAUGUUUUGCUAUGACCUAUGUGUAUUUCAAUAAAAGUCAUGUCUUUGUUUAUACUGA